GAGUUUGAUCGUGGCUCAGAUUGAACGCUGGCGGCGUGCUUAACACAUGCAAGUCGAGCGGUGACAGGCGUAGCAAUACGUGCUGACGAGCGGCGAACGGGUGAGUAAUGCUUCGGAAUCUUCCUCGUAGUGGGGAAUAACCUGGGGAAACUCAGGCUAAUACCGCAUACGAACUACGGUUGAAAGCAGGGGAUCGCAAGACCUUGCGCUAUGAGAUGAGCCGAAGUCGGAUUAGCUAGUUGGUGAGGUAACGGCUCACCAAGGCGACGAUCCGUAGCUGGUCUGAGAGGACGACCAGCCACACUGGGACUGAGACACGGCCCAGACUCCUACGGGAGGCAGCAGUGGGGAAUAUUGGACAAUGGGGGCAACCCUGAUCCAGCGACGCCGCGUGUGUGAAGAAGGCCUGCGGGUUGUAAAGCACUUUUAGUGGGGAUGAAAAGCCGAAGGCUAAUACCUUUCGGUCUUGACCUAACCCAAAGAAAAAGCACCGGCUAACUCUGUGCCAGCCGCCGCA
rnacentral:rRNA from 1 species